rnacentral:rRNA from 1 species
UACGUAGGGGGCUAGCGUUGUCCGGAAUCAUUGGGCGUAAAGCGCGUGUAGGCGGUCCGGUAAGUCCGCUGUGAAAGUCGGGGGCUCAACCCUCGGAUGCCGGUGGAUACUGUCGGGCUUGAGUACGGAAGAGGCGAGUGGAAUUCCUGGUGUAGCGGUGAAAUGCGUAGAUAGUCCGGAGGAACACCGGUGGCGAAGGCGGCUUCCUGGACCGGACACUGACGCUGAGGCGCGAAAGCUAGGGGAGCAAACGG